UGAACCAGAUAGAGUGGGACU
rnacentral:miRNA from 1 species